GUUUGGUAGCAACCAGUCCUUACCCAAUACCUUGAGUUUACAAAUGCUCACCUGCUUGUACUUGCCCCAUGCUGCCAGGAGCCAUCUUCUCCUGCCCAAACCGCCUUUUUUUGUGACAAUGAAGUUUGUAAACAUGUUAUGUUUUCAUUCAUUUUCUGAAGAGAUUCAUUAUAACAUACUCUUUUUUUCUUCAUAGCUUUAAAUGAUUUUUGCUUGACAUACCCAUCACCAUUUACCCUCAAACACUGACCCUAAUCCCCACUCUAACCCCCUGCCCAGGAUCAGUCCUGGGAGUGGCCCGUUCUGAACAUUGUGGUGUGCUGCUGAGAGCAGCAUGGAGUAAUGUGGAUGAGGCCUGGGGAAACCCAGUUGGGGAGAGGGGCUAUGCCCUGAACUCUUGUCAGAUGUUUCUUAAGUGCAAAACGGUUCAGCGCUUUUAACUUGUGAAUAAUACACUAUGUGGUUCAUUUCCUGUUUGUAGCCACUAAUGAGAGAGGACCAGGUGGGAUGAGGCUGAUUACAGGGACCCUGGAGGACUGGGAUAGAGUGAGGAGACAGGUGCCGUGGGCUGGCCCUCCCUCUCCAUGUACAAGAGAAGUUCUCCAGCUGAUUGUUCACAUAUUAGCUUGUAUGUACGCUGUAAAUGUAGCGUAGACUAGAUUGCCUCUACAUUAGCAAUUGAAACUUGAUAAGAAUAUGGGCAACUAAGGACUCCGAUCCCAGAGCUAUAUCCCACCAAUCCUCUCUCAAGAGGUUUUGAAGUAGGGGCACACACACUAGCCUCAAGGCCUGCUUCUGUUGGUUUCCCUCCCCCUGCCUGUAACUUGUUGCCACAUCCCCAGAGUUUUGCGGCUCAGUAUGACGUCACUCCAUUAAGUGGCUGCUGCAUGUACUGCUCUAAGGAAACACAUACUAUAUAGAGAAAUAUAUAUAUAAAUAGAUAGAUGGCUAUGAUUUUAUUCUUUUGUAUUAUCAUUUUUCUUCAUUACUCGCACAGGAGAUAUUUGUAUGUACUUCUGUCUCUGCCAAACAUCGAUGUACUAAAAUCUUCACGCUCCACAGAUGUUGUAUGGCAUCCACUAAACCUCUUUAGAUAUUUGUAAAUGCUAUAGUGUGAUACCUUUCAACGCAAGUUCAUUAUUUUUCUUUCACCAAUGAUAAUUUUGUUUUGGAGAACAAACAAAGCAAGAAAAAAAAGAAAAAAAAAUCACUCUGUGUCUGGCUUUGACAUGAUGACCUAACUAACACUGUAUUAUUGUAACUGAAAUAUGUAUGAUCCUAUGAUGAGCUAUCACUUCCCUUUCACUCUUAAAAAAUAAAAAAGAGAAAAAAAUCCAGUGUAAAAAAUAAAAGGAUAUAUGUAGUGUAUGCUUGUGUUUAGUGAGUGUUCAUGCUGUCAUUCUUUUCCAAUGUAUGGUGGUGAAUUAUGGUGGCUAUGUGCUGUUCUGAUUGGAUCAGCCAAGAUCUGUUGUAAAACCCUUUUUUGUACACCCUCUCAUCAACUGUGACAGUGACGUAGUGAAUUUCAUUUACUUCAUUUAUUUUUUUGACUUUUUAUUUUCCAUAAAUGGAUACAGUGGUAAUGUGUUUGGUUUAUAAAUCACUAAUAAAAUUUGCUUUAUUAAAAUACAUGUGAAUAUAUUGUCUUGUGUGUGUGAGAGAGAUAGCUCUGUGCUUUUCCCCUGCCAUUUGAAGGCCAAUUAAAUAGUGACUAAAUCUAUUUCAGGUUUUAAGGGGAAAAAAAUCUAUUUUUUAGCACCCAGUUCAUGUGCACGUUUAAAAUACUACACCUAUUUAAAAGUUGCCUUUACAAUUAAAAUUUUUUGGCAGGCAAUAUAGAAAACAAGUGCAU
ensembl:lncRNA